AGAGUUGUUGUACUGGUGCAUGUUCACUCGAAAGGAAAGGAGAAUCUCUUUUUUUGGUUUUUUUUUUUUGUUUGUUUUGUUUUGUUUUGUUUUGUUUUGAGAGAGAACAGAGGUUCAGCAAGCUGUGUGCAGAUGGCCUGCAUGCCUGAUUUAUGGACUUCAGUACCAUAGUAUUUACAUUAAAGAGGGCAAUGACUAAUUCAAACUUUCUACUCUCCAGAGCAUUCUUUUUGGAUCUGGAAGCAGAAGGGAGAGAUAUGAGAGCGAAUGAACACACUCCAGAACUAGAAGAAAAGGCACCAUGGUUACAGCAACGGAGAAAUGAGGGAAGUGAAGUGACUCACCUGACACACUGCAGUAGGAUGCUUUUCUGGAGACAAUGACCACUUCUUGACAAUUCAUCAGCGAAAGAGUGGGAAACCUGUGUUCAUUUAUCACCAUGUGCAGAGUCUGGAAAAAAGUCUGGAUACAGACAGUUAUAAGAAUUCCAAACAACAUUUCCAUUCUUCUUCCCAUACCAAAAUAAACAAGCUGCACCCUGCA
rnacentral:lncRNA from 1 species